CAGUUUAUCAACAACUUUAUUUGUCACUCUUAAGAAGUUGAGAAUAAAAUAAAAGUCUUUCAUUAUCUCUAGUCACAUUUUAACAGUCUUUUAGUUAAGAACAAACUUAUAUCCCUUCCUUGGCAUCAACUAAUGCAUUGCCAAAGCAUUUACUUCAACAAUAUUUUGGGUAAGACAUAAUUGAACCAAGUAAUAAUUUAAAUUAUGUGAUAAAUGCUAUCCUAACCCUCGACAAUCU
rnacentral:lncRNA from 1 species